rnacentral:ncRNA from 1 species
GAUAAAUCGUUGACAGGGAUAAGUAUAAAGCCAGGGCCUUUAAAGAGAGAGUCUUCAUCGGCUGGAAAAGACUUAAGCGCCGGGCUUUAGAAAUGCACCUCUUGAGACCUUUGAAGAACGUUUUUAUAACAAGUAUUCAAAGGCGGUAUCCGCCGUUAUGGAUGAGAGUUGAGAAAACAGCUGUGCUGUUUUCUAAACAGAGUGGAACCGCGCGUCAAAAAGCGUCUCUGUC